rnacentral:lncRNA from 1 species
UGGAUAUUUUAUAUUGUUUCAAAAGAUAAAGUUAUAUUUUUUUAAUUUGUGUUUAUAUUAGUACUGAAAAAUGUAUUGAAGAUUUAUUUAUUUCCUUAGGGGCCUCUUUCACUGAAUAAUCUAAGUUGUUCAUCUACAUUGUAUAGUGAUAGCUAGCCUUUUUAUACUGAGGUUGUGAGCUUUGAACAGUGCUGGUUGUUAGGUGCCUUCAACUCCAAUCUUUAAUUUACUAAGAUUGCAAUUUUUUCUGCCAAAUGUUGAUUGUGUUCUCCAGGAAGUCUGACUAUAAUAAGCAAUAAAUACUGGCUGUUACAGUGUAAGAACAGGUGAUUACAGUAGUUUUAAACACUAACAAUCAAUUUAUUUAUUAUUAAUUUUUCAAGGGAAUGAAUUUUCAUAUUUUGUGGGAAAAUUGUUUUUGUAUAUUUAAUACUAAGGUUUUGAUCAAAUCUGCAAACUAAGUUAUAACGAAAUUGGUAUUGCAUUGAAGGCUUUAUUGGUAGCUGAAAUAUACCCAUAGAAUCUACAAAAAAUAUUUUACACCAUUAGAUAAUACAUCAAAUGUUCUAAAUUUAUUAAGAAUCUCAAUUAUAUUAAAAGAACCGUCCAUGUUCCAAAUUUAGACAAAUUUGAAGCUUUAAAGUCCUAAUAAAGGACCAUUAUAUUUAUCUUUAUUGAUUCUUUCUAUUUAACAUUUUGACUAUUAUUUUCAGGUUAAAGUUUUUGGUCAAGGUAGUUUUUGAUGAAGUUAAAGUUACAUCAACUUUAAACUUAGUACACAUGUUCCCUAUGAUACGAUCUUUCUAAAUUUAAUUCCAAAUUAAAGUUUUGACCCCAAUUUCACGGUCCACUGAACAUAUUAAAUGAUAGUAUGAGUGGGGCAUCUAUGUACUAUGGACACAUUCUUGUUUACACUAUAUUGAUUUGAAAUGUUGUCCAUAUGCCAUCUUAAAGUCACAAAUGAUAGAUUUUGAAGUUGUAUUUAUGUAGAAGAGAAUAUGUUCAAACAUUUGUGAUGAAACAUUUACAAAACUACUUUUCAUUUAUAUUUAUAAUUUUUAUUUGUACUACAUUUUUUUUUCUGAAUUUCUGUGAUUUUUCAAUGUAUUUCAUAAAUUUAUGACCACUGUUACAUAGCUUAAAGUGCUGAAUUGUAGUUAAACAAAAAUUUACUCUCCUUUUGUAAGUUAAAAUCAGAAGAAUGACAUUAUUUUUUUUAUCUGAAUAUUUGUUAAUUUUUGUGGUCACAGUUUCACAACAAGGGCUGGUUCCUUGGGUUAUAUAUUAUUGGUAUCUGUUGUUUUAAACCAAUCACUGCUGUAUAACAGUAUAUGCAUAUACAGUGUAACCUAUGUAAUUCAACACACUGUGGGAUCAGGAAAAUAUGUCUGAUUAAGCUGGGUGUUGGAUUACUCAGGUUUUUUCUGCAAGGAUAAGUAUAUUUUGGGACUAUGAAAAUGUGUCAAUUAAAGCAGGAUAUUAGAAUACUUAAGUGUCGGAUUAGGCAAAUUACAUGGUACAACAUAUUUGGAUGUAACAAAUAUAAGCUCAUCAGUAGGUACACAUUUUUUCAAUAAAAGUACAUCCAUUUUGAAUUCUUUUUUUGGCUUUCUGUGUAAAAAUGAACUUAGUUUAUUUAUCUCUUUAUGAAAAAUAUAUAUUUUGGAAGUUAAGUUUUUUGUUUUCUAAUAAUUUAUCAACUACCAAAUUUACUUCUUGUAUUUUUAUUGGAAAACUGUCGAAUGAGUAAAAGGGUACCAAUACUAGGAGGUAAUAUAAGAAACUGGUGAUUUAAACUGCAUAUAUAUUGUGUUUUUAUUACCCCAACAAUAAGAUGAAUGUAAUUUGAUUUUUGUAAUACUAUUUAAUAUUAUCUUCAUGGGUUCUCAGAAAUAGAAAAAAAAAAAUUGUGUCGAGAACUUACUGUCAAUAAGUGUGUAUACUACAAUACUAUCCUGCUAGUCUAAGAGGUUUUAAUCUCAGAACUGCUGAGCAACUUUUCCACAGGUUGAUGUGUGUUGUAAUGAUUAAUUAUAAACAUCUUUACACAUUUGUAUCUUGAUGAUGAAAUCCCUUUUGGUGAUUUAUUUGUGUCCAUGCUGAAUAAUUAGAAUACCAGUAUACUAGUCAACACUAAGCAGGAGAUAAUUAGAAUAGGCAACUUCAAAUUUAUGUAGUUGCUUUCAAGUAAUACAACUGAUUUUUGUUCAUUUUAAGAUUUUAUUUUGUACACUUUUUGAUCUAGUUGGUUGAUUCUACAGUAGAACAUGAUAGAUUUACUGACCUUCGAAAUAACAUGAUCAUUUCUGCACAUUUUGUAAGUUUUCUUACAGUCAUUGAUAAACAGUGAUUUGUCUUUAAAAAAAGGUGUAUUUUACAGUUUAUAGAGGAUAAAAAUAAGUAGAUACACAAUUAUUAGCGUAUUAUGCACUCAUGGAAAGCUGUUUAAUAUGUAAUACUGUAGAAUGGCUAUAGUCUGAUUUCAUUAUCAUACAAUGUGUUCCAUACCUACUGAAGACUUACGGCCAAAAGAUGUGCCAUAUAGUAUGUUUUUAAAAUAUUUAUUUGAAGAAAAAAAAACAUGAGAAAAGUUGGUUUAAUUUUUCAAGGAUGAAAUGAUAACCUGUAUUUUUCUCUCUCUUAGUAAUAAUAUUUACAACUGUUUUCGUAAACUACAUACAUAUAUUAUAAAACAUUGUUGGUACUUAAUUUAAAACAAAAUUUGUAUUGAUGUUUCUCACAAAUAUGUG